rnacentral:rRNA from 1 species
UACGUAGGGUGCGAGCGUUGUCCGGAAUUACUGGGCGUAAAGAGCUCGUAGGUGGUUUGUCGCGUUGUUCGUGAAAACUCACAGCUCAACUGUGGGCGUGCGGGCGAUACGGGCAGACUGGAGUACUGCAGGGGAGACUGGAAUUCCUGGUGUAGCGGUGGAAUGCGCCGAUAUCAGGAGGAACACCGGUGGCGAAGGCGGGUCUCUGGGCAGUAACUGACGCUGAGGAGCGAAAGCGUGGGGAGCGAACAGG